CGGGUGGUAUGAAACAGUCCAUUUGUAAGCAAUAUUCAAUUAUUAACACAUCAUAUGUUUGGACAGAAGUAUUCAAAAUUUUAAAUUUGUGUUAAAAAUCGGAUUUUUUUUUUUAUUGAGGAGAAUAUAUCGAAAAAAAACUGCUUUCUGGGACGGUGGCUAUGAUAGCACCUGUGGGUGCACCACAUACUGACACGGUGGAAAUGCCAGAAGAAAAGAAAAAGACAAAUGCAAACUCACAAGGGAAACGGAAACCAACCUCCUAAAAUGGCACAUCAUGCUCAUCUGGAAAGAAAAAAAACACAAAACAACCCUCCUCAAAGAAUAAAACCAAGCAAAACAGUAUAGGAAAAUAGUUUUUAAAUAAAAAAGAAAUGGAAAAAACAGAGCAGCUCAAGAAAAGAAUCUGAUAAAACAAAGGCAACAGAGAAACGGAAACAAAGUACAUUCUUAUGUGAACUAAUAAUACUAUUACCAGAGAACUGCAGGAAGAGACAACCUAAGACAUUUCUUAAAACUAAUUUUGGUUUUUGAUCUGAUAAUGUUUUGUUGAUAUUGUGUUACAAUGCAUUUAUCUGUUGUAGAAUUAUUAUUUGUGUUUAAUUAAUUGAUCAUAUUUCAUCUUGGAGUGACUUUACAUAGUCUCAUUACUUCUGUUAUUACCGGAGAAAUGAAUGGCUUUGUUUACCAAUGUGCCAAAACUAGCUAACAGUAGUGUACUGUUAGAAUUAGAAAAAAGUCUUGAAGGACAAGAAUAGAUAUGUUCUAAAAAUUUCUUUAACCAAAUAUUAGCCUGGGAGUAGGGGAUAGGAAUCGGGGACGCAUGUUCACCCCUUCUACUGUACAUAGGGCCUUUCAGUUUACUGCACUUUAAACAUAGGCGGAUCCAGGGGAAGGGGCCCUGGGGGUCCACCCCCCUUUUGUGGGAAAAAAUGGUUGAUUAUAUAGGGAAUCACUGCAGCAUGAGGUCAGUCAGCACCCUCCCCCUUAUGAAAAGUUCUCUAUCCGCCACUGUUAAAAAGUGCAAAGAACCAAUUCGUCAGAUUUCCCCCUCCUUAUUGUCUCCCCCUUAUUAAUAUUAUAUAGUUAUAUGUAUUUGGUGUUUUUCACUAUUGUUUUAUGUAAGAUGU